rnacentral:rRNA from 1 species
UACGGAGGGCGCAAGCGUUGUUCGGAAUCACUGGGCGUAAAGCGCGUGUAGGCGGCUUGGUAAGUCGGGUGUGAAAGCCCGGGGCCUAACCCCGGAACUGCACUCGAAACUGCCUCGCUCGAGUCCCGGAGAGGAUGGUGGAAUUCCCGGUGUAGUGGUGAAAUACGUAGAUAUCGGGAGGAGCACCAGCGGCGAAGGCGGCCAUCUGGACGGUGACUGACGCUGAGACGCGAAAGCGUGGGGAGCAAACAGG